rnacentral:lncRNA from 1 species
CUUCUGAUCCCCUGCUUUUACCACCACAGUGCAUUUUUUCUUCAAACCAAUACAAGUAAAAGUCACAGUCUAUCUCUUGUUUCUGAUGUUAUGACAAACUGCAGGGGAGGCCAAUUAUUCUGUCUUCUUUUAGUGAGUAGUAGCUGAAGAAGGAAUUUCACCCUAUGUGUUUUUUCACUGGAACCUCCAGAUGGUCUGGUGUUACAGUGCUGCAUCCGACGCACUGACAAAUAGGCUGUCAGGGAAGAUCUUUCCUGUAAUGUACACUGUGAAACUAAACCAUCUAUUUGUUGAUAUACAUUGUUUGAAGUGUGUGCAGUUUGCUGUGAUGCAUCCUGAGAAGGUGACAUGUCUUUGUCUCUAUGUGAGUUCAGUACUUGAUUGAAGUAAAACUGAUGUUCCAUAUACUGAAUUGCCAAAUUAAGUUAUGUGCCAGAAAACAUCUGUUUUCUUUUAUAUAGUGACAUUUGCUCUGUGUAGCUUAUUGAUAGGUGUUUUUUUUUUUUUUUUUUUUAAGCACGGGUUUCAAUCCAACGUAAAUGAAGAAAUGAAGUAGCCCAUCAAAUAUUGGUCAUCUAUUACUAAACUAAAAGAAUACACUGAAAAAAAUGUGAUAAAUGUUUAAUAAUAAAAGAGGAAGAUCCCAAAGGACAAUUUAUUAGGUGGCUUGUAGAAAUGAUAUUCAGAUCUUAAUGAUAUUGAAGGGUAUUACAACACUGUUCCUACUUGACUAAGACUUGUAAUUCAGAGGCCUAGGUAAAGUGGAGCAAUUGAAGUCUUAUUCCAGUAUGGUGUCCCAUCACUUGGCUGUAUUUUUGGUAGAACAUCACUUUAAAUGACUGAUUUUCUCUCAGAUUGCUAUUGCUGUUGAUUUUGAUCUGAGACGUCAUCAUGUUGCUGAAUAAUCUGCAUGUUGAAAAUUAAUAAGUUGUAACAAACCACAUUCUUUUUUCUUGAUUUUAUUGUUUUAAAAUCACUCCUACCUUAGUGUGAUAAGUAUGGGGCUACAUUUAAACUCACAGAGUUUCAAGUUAUAUUUGUUGACACAUAAUUUGGUUUUCAAACUACUUAAAUCAUAAUCCUCGAAUGUAUAGUUGAAGGACUGAAGGAGAAGACCAUUUACUGGUGAUAGGUGUACACUUCUUUUAUGUGUGCAGUGUUCUUCCAAAAAAGAUGUGUACCUUGAAAAGGUAAAAUAAACCGUAGAAGUUUUCACGAAAAGCAGUCUUCCACUACUCUCUUUGACAGUUUGUAUAUGGAAGGGAGGUUAUUGAAUUUUCAAGUUUAAGAAUGUCAGACUCAGAGUAGAUGUAGUCCAAUAGAAGCUAAAUACUACCCUCGUCUACAUAAGAACUGACCAGCUUUUCCCAUGAAGUGGUUCUAACACUUCAUUUCACUCACUGUACAAAUGAAAGAAAUGUAAACCCUAAUUUCUCAAGGUAUUUUUAAUUAUGUUUGAAGCAAUUAAGUAGUUUCAGAAGUCAUUGUCCUGAAUAGCGUUGCAUAGAAUCCUACAGUUUUCCAGGUUAGCUUAUACAGCUUAUUUCUGUAUUUACAGUUCGUUUUAUAUCCUUUCUACUAGUUAGGAACAGAGAUUUCUAAAUAGACCUUGCAUGGCUUAUAAGAUGAACAGAUCAUCUUGAAUGCAAUCACACAGCACAUGCAGGACAACUGGGGAUCAGGCCCAGCCAACAUGUGCUCAUGAAAAGCAGGUCUUGCUUGACGAAGCUGACCUCCUUCUAUGAUCACGUGACCCACCUAGUGGAUGAGGGAAAGGCUGUUGAUGUAGUCUACCUAGACUUUAGCAAAACCUUUGACACUGUCUCCCACAAUAUUCCCUUGGAGAAACUGGAAGCCUGUGUCUUGGUCAGGUACAGUCUUAGCUGGGUAAAGAGCUAGCUGGAUAGUCGAACCCAGAGAGUGGUGGUGAAUAGAGUUAAAUCCAGCUGGCAACUGGUCAUGAGUGGUGUGCCCCAGGAGUCGGUGUUGGGGCCCAUCCUGUUUAAUAUCUUUGUUGAUGAUUUGGGUGAGGGAAUUGAGGUUACAAGUGUAAUUAGUAAUAGGACUAGAGGGAAUUGUUCACAAGAUGUGCCAGGAGAGGUUCAGGUAGGAUAUUAGGAGAAAUUUAUUUUCAGAAGGAGUGGUUAGGCAUUGGAACAGGCUGCCCAGAGAGAUGUUUAAGUCACAGAACCUGUAUGUGUUCAAGAAACAUUUGGAUGUUGUACUGAGGUACGUGGUUUAGUAGGGAAAUACUGGUGGUAGGUGGAUGGUUGGACUAGAUGAUCUUAGAGGUGUUUUCCAUCCUUAAUGAUUCUAUGAUUCCAUGUUCUGUAACAUGUUCAAUGCAGAUUUAAAAUGUUUUCCCUUGCAUCAGUGCUUUUGACACAACUUUUUGCUGUUCCUUUUUUUUUCCUCUCUGAUUUUGCUUAAUUAAUAAUUAAUUGUUACAGACUGGUUCUGCUACAAUUUGGUAUUUGAUGCUUUGGAUUCCAGAUCCAUUAACCUCAAUGUAUAGGCCAACAGCAAGUAAAUUAGUGAGACUUACCGUGCAGUAUUUUCAAAAGGAAACAAAUACAAGUACUUCGAGUACUUAAGAAAGGCUUCUAAGGAAACAGACAAAGAGCUAUUUUAUACAGGAAAUGGAAGACUUGAACAUUCAGAUUUAAGAAGUGAGGAAAAUGGAUGAUACCAGAGGUGCUUAGAAAGCAACAAAAAGGAAUUCUGAGAAAUACAUAAACAACGUUUGAAGGAGUUUUUAAACCAUGAUAUUAAAGGAGAAAGCAAAGCUGUGAAAUGUUAUUGUAAUUCAGAUUUGGACAGUGUCAGAUUCAGCAUCAGUACUGACUUUUCUGAGUGGACUAUCACACAUUAAAGGUAUAUUUAAAUACUAUUUGUCUGGUUUUCACUUGACAUUUCUAAUGGAAAAAAUAAUAAAGUACUGCUUAGUUUAAUUAAUUUUUCUUUUAAAUAACACAUAUUCGUAGAAUCAUAGAACAAUUAAGGUUGGAAAAGACCACUCAGAUCAUCUAGUCCAACAAUCAAGCCAUCUGAAAUGACUUGAAUUUUUAAAAAUGCUGACUAUUUGGUAUUUGAUUAAUCUUUGCCCAUUUGAUUGGCCUACUGGUCAGAACAUGUGCAGUUUUGAUAUUCAACAAAAUUGUGUUUUAUUUCAAUAUGCAACUUGUCUCAACAUGGAUGAAAGAAGCUACUGUGAAGGGCCUUCCUACAGUGUUAGACGCGGUAUUAUUUUUUACUCACCUGGACUGCAAUGGGUAGCCCUGACUGCUCUUAAAUACCAGCAGUGUCUCACUAGGAGAUCUUGGAUAUUUUAUGAUGAAAUGGUGAUAAAAAUUUUUGUAUUUGGUCUUACCGUAGAAAAUUCUAUCUGGAUACAUACUUAGCUAUGGUGAUGGCUUGCAUCACAUAUCCACAGAUGUUUUUGUAUAAAUAUGCACAAAUGAAUGAAUAUCCUUUUAUACAGGCAAGAAUACAUGCAUACCUACAGAUGAUAUAACAUACAUCUCCAUAAUGCAUAUUUCUGCCCUUAAUAGGUAUUAAAUGUUCUAUGUCUAAAAGCAGUUGAGGUCUCCUAUAGGGAGAGUUUAAAUAUCUCCUCUCAGGGAAUAUGCAAUUAUAUCUGAAUAUGUAUGUCUUUAUUUGUGAGAAUUUGUGGCAUUCUGUUCCGUAGUGAUCUGUAUGUGUGUGUGUUUUCAUGCUGGUGUUUGUGAGAAAAUCGUCUAUGUGUGACAAGAAAUAAAAAACAUUCUCCUGCUCACAUUGUGAAUGCUUAUGAAACUGCUGUUAAACAGACAGUGGAAAAUUAUUUGGCUGGAAAUAUUUGCACAUUAUGUGAACAAAAAUUUUAAAAAAUUCUGAUAAAAUUGCUUUUUGAAGCAAUGAAUAUUAAAGCACAGAAACUCAGAAGAGUUUUGUUUAUUUUAUCAAGCUAAAAUAUUAACAGUUAUAUAUUUAAUAUUGAUCUAAUUUGUUUCUCUGAUAACAUGUACAUUGGGGUAAUAAAUUUAAUCAAAUAACAGAAUGUGAUAUUUCACAUAUGCAAACACACAAUAUAAAAAUUAUAUUUCCAUUUUGUUAGUCAAAACUAUUACUUAGUGGAAACUGAGUUUCAGAAUAGGAUAAGGAGUUGUAUUUUGUUGUCAUUAAAUAGGAAGUAAUUUGACUUGUACACUCAAAGUAAUCUCUCUAGUCAAUCAUAACAUAGAUUUCAGGGCUUAUUUAACAGCUGCUUCCAAGGUAUGUAUUACUUCAACUUUGAAAAUCAUUCUUUUUGGUGUUUUAAGAUAAUUACAGCAUAUUGAAUGUACGUUUUGGACAUGAUCUCUCAUUGCUCAUUUCUGUUGUGUUACAAGUUGAUGAAAAGUAAACAGCUUUUUGAUGCAAAGUCUAAAAUUUUGAUGUAGUGUACAGCUGUUCAGGAAUGCUUAGUUAGAAUACUUUUAUAACAAAAAGUGUUAUCUAGGCAAAAUUGAAACCUUUUGUACAAUUUUUUUAAUGAAAAAUAGAUUUAGUUUCUAGCCAUAUCUGACACAGUAAUGAUGUGAAAUAUAAUUUCUCUAUGCCUGUUGCACUGCCAUCAUGUUUCUUCCUGAUUAAAGUGAUUCUGGUCUCAUGAUGCUGUAAAAUGCUGCAGUCAAUUUUAUUUUCUUCAAAGAAAACAACUCUGUGAAAACAUUAGCACAUACAUUUCAUGAAAUUAAUUGGAGAUUUAGUUUUGAUGAGAGACUGCUAAGCAGAGGAAAGAUUGUACAUGAUGAUAUUGCUCAAAUUCCUUUAUGGAAUAAAAAAAAAAGCCAUACAGGUUUGUUAAUGAGGUCAAAUUUCAAUCAAAACCAAACAAUUUAUUAUUAUAUGAAAUGCACAAACAUGAGCUGAACUGUAAAGGAGGCUUUUUUUUUUCUUUCCUGUUUUUUAAUAUGUAUACAGCACCUUUUUUUUUUUUUUUUUUAAUGAGCAGCUUCAGCUGCAGUUGCUAAAACCAAAGAUAUUGAUUUUAUUACAAACCAGAUAGUUUUUAUGAACAUCUGUCUUUCAUAAACACCAUGGAUGUUUGGUAAAAUAUUCUUGCAGCUGAAAAGGGAUAAACCAGGUGAGCUAUUAUGCAAGUGAAAUGGAAGAUUAUGAUACUGGAAUCUCACCUAAUUUCACCUCCUUCCCCUCCCUAUCACCCCUUUUUCAGUCUCUUUUUAGGGAAAUUAAAAAUCUGUGGAUGUCCAAGGUUGCAAAGUUCUGAGCUUAUGCUGAACCUUUUGCUGAUUAAAAUUUUGGGUUAUGUUUUGUUUCUCUUGAAAGAAAAAGCCCCAUACUUAUAAGCAUGCUGUUAGCUUUAUUCCUCAUAACGAAAGCUUCACCUAAAGAUGCCUCUUAAAAAAAAAAAAAUCUAUUUAAGUAAUUAAAUAUCAAUGUUCACAGAAUGCUACAGGUUUUUAAAAAGUAUGAUUCUGCUGAAUAAAAACUGACAUAUGUAAAAACUAAUUUUUCAAAAUAAAACAUUUGAAAAUGAUGAGAAAAUGUCUUACGGUUCUACUGGAGUUUCUUACAUUUGUUACAGCAACACAUGGCUCACUUGGGAAAUGCUGAGCUGGCCUGACAUUUUCUAUCCAAUACAACUUUUUAUCCAUCUGUUUUCAUAUAAAUUAUUUUUUCAUUUCUGCAUUCUAGAAGGGGGAUAAAAAUGAUUCUGAAAAACAGAAAAGCAGCUUAUGCUUUUAUAUGGAGAUAUUGCAAGUGGCAUCAUAAUAUAUGCUUUAGAACUGCAUCUUUUUCUGUAUUAAAGUGUUGAGUAAAAGGCUGGGGAGAAAAUGUCAGACAUAGUGAAGAAAGAUAUGGUUUAGUUUAAAUCGUACACUGAAGGAAGUGAAAAUAUGACUUAAGCCAAAAUAAGACAUGCUAAUAUGUGCUCCUUCAUGACACAUUUCCUCUGCAUCACUUUCUGCUGCUUGAAUCUGAUUCUGCAAGACCUUGCACACAUGAAUAGUCUCACUAAACAUGACAGGACUGCUGGAAGAGUUGGCAGGUCUGGAGCCAGAAUGUGUCACAGUUACAUGACACCACAGUGAAACCAGCUGAGUAUCAAGGGAUAUUGAUAGUUGAGAACUAAAAACCUUUUUUCCAGGUUGCUUUCAAACUGUUUUGUGUGUUUUAAACAUAUUACCUUUUUUCAUAAGUGCUUCAUAAAUGAAGAAUACUGCUUUCUUCUCCACCUGCCUCUGCUUUCUUCCUCUCUUUUCUUCAGGAAAACAAAAAAUAGAAGGAAAAGUAUAUCAUGUACCAUCUUUGUUUCUAUAUAUUCAGCAAAUAAGACAGUAAAAAAAAUUGGAGAUUUUGUGUAUUAAAUUGACUAAACUAUAUCAGGAAAUCUAAAUUGCUUUAUCUCAAGCAAGUCCAACAACAACUAUUACAGAACUGUUUAGUGGUGCAUCCCUGCAUGCUUAUUGAACAUCUUCACUGUAAUCAUGUCAUAGAAUCAUAGAAUAAUAGAAUGGAUUAGUCUGGAGAGCACUUCAAAGAUCAUCUAGUUCCAGCCACCCCUGCAAUGAAUAGAGCUGCCCCCCA